GAUUGCCUCAGUAACGGCGAGUGAAGCGGCAACAGCUCAAAUUUGAAAUCUGGCCCCAGGCCCGAGUUGUAAUUUGCAGAGGAUGCUUUUGGCGAGGUGCCUUCCGAGUUCCCUGGAACGGGACGCCAUAGAGGGUGAGAGCCCCGUACGGUUGGACACCAAGUCUUUGUAAAGCUCCUUCGACGAGUCGAGUAGUUUGGGAAUGCUGCUCAAAAUGGGAGGUAUAUUUCUUCUAAAGCUAAAUAUUGGCCAGAGACCGAUAGCGCACAAGUAGAGUGAUCGAAAGAUGAAAAGCACUUUGAAAAGAGGGUUAAACAGCACGUGAAAUUGUUAAAAGGGAAGCGCUUAUGACCAGACUUGCGCCCGGUGAAUCACCCAGCUCUCGCGGCUGGGGCACUUUGCCGGCUCAGGCCAGCAUCAGCUCGCUGUCGUGGACAAAAGCUUCGGGAACGUAGCUCUCUUCGGGGAGUGUUAUAGCCCGUUGCAUAAUACCCUUCGGCGGGCUGAGGUACGCGCUCCGCAAGGAUGCUG
rnacentral:rRNA from 1 species